UCUAAUAGACUUGAAGCGCGGGCUUCAGGAAACUGAGCCCUUUUCUCUCCUGUAACUCACUUCUUCUUGAAGUCCUCUACCGUGUCCUGCAUCCCCCUGAGCUCUGAGUCCAGACGGCUUCUCUCUGAGACAAGGUAGUCCAGCUGUCUCCUGAGAUUGUUGAUGUACUGCUCGAAAUAAGGCUCCAGGCUCUGCCUCACGGUCUUUGUGCCCUGCUCCUGCAGCAGGGCC